rnacentral:rRNA from 1 species
UACGUAGGGCGCAAGCGUUUGUCCGGAAUUAUUGGGCGUAAAGAGCUCGUAGGCGGUCUGUUACGUCCGCUGUGAAAACCCAGGGCUUAACCCUGGGCUUGCAGUGGAUACGGGUAGACUAGAGGCAGGUAGGGGAGAAUGGAAUUCCCGGUGUAGCGGUGAAAUGCGCAGAUAUCGGGAGGAACACCGGUGGCGAAGGCGGUUCUCUGGGCCUGUACUGACGCUGAGGAGCGAAAGCGUGGGGAGCGAACAGG